GGGAUGAGCAGCUGACCAUUCUUCAAAUACGAAUUGACAAGCAGAGCGAAAGUAUGUUCCGUGACAACCGAACAGCCCUUCUGCAAUCAUAUGAGAAUCAGCUGUAUGCAUUGGAGGAUCGCCUUGCUGCAACCGAGAAGACCAUUAGCGAGAUCGAGGAGUUCAUAGGGUUCAUUCAGAGUGAAAUUGCUGGAGUGAAAGAAGCACUUGCUAAUCGAGGUUCUGAUAUCCUACUUUGUGUUUUUUUAGUUAUUUUUGCAGUAAUCUCUUGUGUUUUCAUGCGUUGGGAUGUAGAAUAGAGGACCAAGAGACUUGUGUAACCUUUAAGUAGACUAG
rnacentral:lncRNA from 1 species